CAGGAAAAAGAUGUUGCGUUGCCAAGUUCUCCCCCUCCCAGUGUUGCGGGAUAGGUCAGCAGCUGCAGGAGAACUUGAUUAGUGCCUUGCCUCUGAGCAGAUGCAUUUCCCUGACAGCAUCGAUCCUGGGUGCUUUCGCUUUGCAGGCAGCUCCACAGAGGAGGAGCUUGGACUGCAAAGGAGGUGGCCUGUUGUCUGUUCAAGGCUAAUCAUCACCUGGAAGGAAGAAAUGUUCAGCAUGGUGCUAAUUGAUGUGUAUAUUUACUGUGAAGUACUACCCCAGGAGAAAAGAGGCAACCGGCUGCAUGAAUGGAAUUUGGAGAAAGGUAAUACCUCCUGGCAAACAACAGCAAGAUCCAUGAAAUCACUGUAGUCUUCCUGGAUAAGAGUUUGCCAAGAUUUCUGUAGACUCGGUCUUCCUUUCCACUCCUGGAAAUAACCCCUUUAGGGCAGAGUGGAAGCACAAAACACAGUAACACGUUCUCUUCUGCCUGUAUUCUACCUAAACAGUGGAUAAUUAGAAGUGCUUUGGGUUCUGCAUUCAGCUGCAACAAUAAACACUUUAAAUAGUUG
ensembl:lncRNA